CGGGUGCGUAAUACGUGAGAAUCUGCCCUUAGGAGGAGAAUAACUUCUGGAAACGGUUGCUAAGUCUCCAUAUGCCGAGAGGUGAAAUAGUUUAUACUGCCUAGGGAUGAGCUCACGCCUGAUUAGCUUGUUGGUAAGGUAAUGGCUUACCAAGGCCACGAUCAGUAGCUGGUUUGAGAGAACGAUCAGCCACACUGGGACUGAGACACGGCCCAGACUCCUCCGGGAGGCAGCAGUGAGGAAUUUUCCGCAAUGGGCGAAAGCCUGACGGAGCAAUACCGCGUGAGGGAUGAAGGAUUUUGGUCUGUAAACCUCUUUUUUCAAGAAAGAAGUUCUGACGGUACUUGAGGAAUAAGCAUCGGCUAACUCCGUGCCAGCAGCCGCGGUAAUACGGGGGAUGCAAGCGUUAUCCGGAAUCAUUGGGCGUAAAGCGCCUGUAGGUUGUUUAAUAAGUCUGUUGUUAAAGACUAGGGCUUAACCCUAGGAAAGCAAUGGAAACUGCUAGACUUGAGUAUGAUAGGGGU
rnacentral:rRNA from 1 species